rnacentral:rRNA from 1 species
AGUACUCCGCCUGAGUAGUACGUACGCAAGUAUGAAACUUAAAGGAAUUGACGGGAUCCCGCACAAGCGGUGGAUCAUGUUGUUUAAUUCGAAGAUACACGAAAAACCUUACCAGGUCUUGACAUAUUCUGCGAAGCUAUAGAAAUAUAGUAGAGGUUACCAGAAAUACAGGUGGUGCAUGGUUGUCGUCAGCUCGUGUCGUGAGAUGUUAGGUUAAGUUCUAAAACGAGCGCAACCCUUAUCGUUAGUUACCAGCAUGUUAUGAUGGGGACUUUAGCGAGACUGCCAAUGAAAAAUUGGAGGAAGGUGAGGAUUACGUCAAAUCAUCAUGCCCCUUAUGAUCUGGGCUA